GUGUGUAUAUAAUGCAGUGUGUUUGUGUAGUGUGCAUUAUAUAAACACACUACACAAACACACUGCAUUAUAUACACACAC